UGCGGUUAUACAAAAAUUAAAUUAAAUUUUUUUAGGAUUUAAUUAAUAAAAUUAAAAUUAAUAAUUUAAAUUUUAAAUUAUAAAGUGAAAUUUUAAAUUUAGUUAAAAUUUAUUUAUUUUUAUGAUAUUAAUAAAUUUUAUAAAAAACUAGGAUUAGAUACCCUAUUAUAAAAAUUUAAAUUUAAAUAAUCUUAAAAUAGUAUAUAAUUUUUUAUAGAAACUUAAAUAAUUUGGCGGUAUUUUAGUUCAUUUAGAGGAAUCUGUCUAAUAAUUGAUAAUCCACGAUUAAAUUUACUUAAUUUUUAAUUUUGUAUAUCGUUGUUAAAAAAAUAUUUUUAAAUAAUUUUAAUAUUUUAAAAUUUAUAUAAAAAAAUUAAAUCAGAUCAAGAUGCAGAUUAUAAUUAAGAAUAUGAUGGAUUACAAUAAAUUUUAUUUUAUUUGGAUAUUAAUUUGAAAUAAAUUGAUUGAAAUUGGAUUUAAAUGUAAUUUUAUUUAUUUUAAUAAAAUGAUUAAAAAUUAAAAUAUGUACAUAUUGCCCGUCGCUUUCAUUAAUAAAUUGAAAUAAGUCGUAACAAAGUAGAGGUACUGGAAAGUGUUUCUAGAAAGAU
rnacentral:rRNA from 1 species